ensembl:snRNA U6 U6 spliceosomal RNA
GUACUUGCUUUGGCAGCACAUACACUAAAAUUGGAACAAUACAGAGAUGAUAAGCAUGGCCCCUGUGCAAGGAUGACACUCAAAUUUGUGAGGCGUUCCAUGUUUUU